UACGUAGGGUGCAAGCGUUAAUCGGGAUUACUGGGCGUAAAGCGUGCGCAGGCGGUUCGGAAAGAAAGAUGUGAAAUCCCAGAGCUUAACUUUGGAACUGCAUUUUUAACUACCGGGCUAGAGUGUGUCAGAGGGAGGUGGAAUUCCGCGUGUAGCAGUGAAAUGCGUAGAUAUGCGGAGGAACACCGAUGGCGAAGGCAGCCUCCUGGGAUAACACUGACGCUCAUGCACGAAAGCGUGGGGAGCAAACAG
rnacentral:rRNA from 1 species